rnacentral:rRNA from 1 species
UGCGUAGACGGUUAUGUAAGUCGGGUGUGAAAGCCCCGGGCUCAACCUGGGAAUUGCAUUCGAGACUGUGUAGCUAGGGUACGGAAGAGGGAAGCGGAAUUUCAGGUGUAGCGGUGAAAUGCGUAGAUAUCUGAAGGAACACCAGUGGCGAAAGCGGCUUCCUGGUCCAGUACCGACGUUCAGGCACGAAAGCGUGGGAGCAAACA